rnacentral:rRNA from 1 species
GCCAGACUCCUACGGGAGGCAGCAGUGGGGGAUAUUGCACAAUGGGGGAAACCCUGAUGCAGCGACGCCGCGUGAGUGAAGAAGUAUUUCGGUAUGUAAAGCUCUAUCAGCAGGGAAGAAAAAAGACGGUACCUGACUAAGAAGCCCCGGCUAACUACGUGCCAGCAGCCGCGGUAAUACGUAGGGGGCAAGCGUUAUCCGGAUUUACUGGGUGUAAAGGGAGCGUAGACGGCAUGGCAAGUCAGAUGUGAAAGCCCGGGGCUCAACCCCGGGACUGCAUUUGAAACUGUCAGGCUGGAGUGCAGGAGAGGUAAGUGGAAUUCCUAGUGUAGCGGUGAAAUGCGUAGAUAUUAGGAGGAACACCAGUGGCGAAGGCGGCUUACUGGACUGUAACUGACGUUGAGGCUCGAAAGCGUGGGGAGCAAACAGGAUUAGAUACCCGUGUA